rnacentral:tRNA from 1 species
GCGGGAUUAGUUUAGUGGUAGAAUAACUGCCUUCCAAGCAGUGGACAAGGGUUCGAUUCCCUUAUCCCGCA